rnacentral:rRNA from 1 species
UACGUAGGGUGCGAGCGUUAAUCGGAAUUACUGGGCGUAAAGCGUGCGCAGGCGGUUCGCCGUGUCCGAUGUGAAAGCCCCGGGCUUAACCUGGGAAUGGCAUUGGAAACUGGCGGGCUGGAGUGUGGCAGAGGGGGGUGGAAUUCCACGUGUAGCAGUGAAAUGCGUAGAGAUGUGGAGGAACACCGAUGGCGAAGGCAGCCCCCUGGGCCAACACUGACGCUCAGGCACGAAAGCGUGGGGAGCAAACAGG